rnacentral:rRNA from 1 species
GACGAACGCUGGCGGCGUGCUUAACACAUGCAAGUCGAACGGAAAGGCCCUGCUUUUGUGGGGUGCUCGAGUGGCGAACGGGUGAGUAACACGUGAGUAACCUGUCCUUGCCUUUGGGAUAUCCUAAGGAAACUGGGGGUCAUCCCGGAUAGGAGCUCUCGCUGCAUGGUGGGGGUUGGUUAGUUUCGCCGGUUGGGGAUGGAAUCGCGUCUUAUCAGCUUGUUGGUGGGGUAGUGGAUUACCAAGGCUUUGACGGGUGGCCGGCCUGCUAGGGUAGCCGGCCAAGUCGGAACUGAGAUACGACCCAGACUACUACGGGAGGCAGCAGUGGGGAAGGUUACACAAGGAGCGGAAGCCAGAUGCAGCAACGCCGCGUGCGGGAUGACGGCCUGCGGUUUGUAUUCCGCUUCCGCCUGUGACGGAGCGUUAGUGACAGUAAUGGGUAAAGAAGCACCGGCUAACUACGUG